UGCUCAGCAACUCCUAUUCCUACCUCCUCGCGGUACUGGUCGGGUUACGAACAGCCUUAGGGAAGAUUGAGUUAUCAACUCCGGUGGGAACUUUGGUGGUAUGCUGACAGAAAAGG
rnacentral:ribozyme from 1 species